rnacentral:rRNA from 1 species
AGUUGAUCAUGGCUCAGAUUGAACGCUGGACGGAAUGCUUACACAUGCAAGUCGAACGGUAGAGGGGCAACCCUUGAGAGUGGCGAACGGGUGAGUAAUAUAUCGGAACGUGCCCAGUCGUGGGGGAUAACGUAGCGAAAGUUACGCUAAUACCGCAUACGAUCUAAGGAUGAAAGCGGGGGAUCGCAAGACCUCGCGCGAUUGGAGCGGCCGAUAUCAGAUUAGGUAGUUGGUGAGGUAAAGGCUCACCAAGCCAACGAUCUGUAGCUGGUCUGAGAGGACGACCAGCCACACUGGAACUGAGACACGGUCCAGACUCCUACGGGAGGCAGCAGUGGGGAAUUUUGGACAAUGGACGCAAGUCUGAUCCAGCCAUUCCGCGUGCAGGAUGAAGGCCCUCGGGUUGUAAACUGCUUUGUACGGAACGAAAAGGUUUCUAUUAAUACUAGGAGCUCAUGACGGUACCGUAAGAAUAAGCACCGGCUAACUACGUG